rnacentral:rRNA from 1 species
UACAGAGGGUGCAAGCGUUGUUCGGAAUCAUUGGGCGUAAAGGGCGUGUAGGCGGUCUGUUAAGUCAUGUGUGAAAUCCCUCGGCUCAACCGGGGAACGACGCAUGAAACUGACAAGCUAGAGUACCAAAGAGGGGGGUGGAAUUCCCGGUGUAGCGGUGGAAUGCGUAGAUAUCCGAAAGAACACCGGUGGCGAAGGCGGCGACCUGGGUAGAUACUGACGCUGAGGUGCGAAAGCGUGGGGAGCAAACAGG